CCUACGGGAGGCAGCAGUAGGGAAUCUUCCGCAAUGGACGAAAGUCUGACGGAGCAACGCCGCGUGAGUGACGAAGGUUUUCGGAUCGUAAAACUCUGUUGUGAGGGAAGAACAAGUACCACUUAACUACUGGUACCUUGACGGUACCUCGCCAGAAAGCCACGGCUAACUACGUGCCAGCAGCCGCGGUAAUACGUAGGUGGCAAGCGUUGUCCGGAAUUAUUGGGCGUAAAGCGCGCGCAGGCGGUCCCUUAAGUCUGAUGUGAAAGCCCACGGCUCAACCGUGGAGGGUCAUUGGAAACUGGGGGACUUGAGUGCAGAAGAGGAAAGUGGAAUUCCACGUGUAGCGGUGAAAUGCGUAGAGAUGUGGAGGAACACCAGUGGCGAAGGCGACUUUCUGGUCUGUAACUGACGCUGAGGCGCGAAAGCGUGGGGAGCAAACAGGAUUAGAUACCCUGGUAGUCCACGCCGUAAACGAUGAGUGCUAAGUGUUAGGGGGUUUCCGCCCCUUAGUGCUGCAGCUAACGCAUUAAGCACUCCGCCUGGGGAGUACGGCCGCAAGGCUGAAACUCAAAUGAAUUGACGGGG
rnacentral:rRNA from 1 species